GAUGAACGCUAGCUACAGGCUUAACACAUGCAAGUCGCGGGGCAGCAUGGGGGUUGCUUGCAAUCCCCGAUGGCGACCGGCGCACGGGUGAGUAACGCGUAUCCAACCUGCCCUUCACCACGGGAUAACCCGGCGAAAGUCGGACUAAUACCGUAUGUUUUCCAUUGACGGCAUCCGAUUUGGACGAAAGGCUUGGCGGUGAGGGAUGGGGAUGCGUCCGAUUAGCCAGACGGCGGGGUAACGGCCCACCGUGGCUACGAUCGGUAGGGGUUCUGAGAGGAAGGUCCCCCACACUGGAACUGAGACACGGUCCAGACUCCUACGGGAGGCAGCAGUGAGGAAUAUUGGUCAAUGGGCGUAAGCCUGAACCAGCCAAGUAGCGUGCAGGAGGACGGCCCUAUGGGUUGUAAACUGCUUUUAUGCGGGGAUAAAGUGGCCCACGUGUGGGCUUUUGCAGGUACCGCAUGAAUAAGGACCGGCUAAUUCCGUG
rnacentral:rRNA from 1 species